GGGAUGGGGUGCGGUGGCACCCGCGGUGCCCUCCCCCCGGGAUUGGGGACACCUGAUCCCGACCCGCUCCACUCCAAGGAUGAGUUUGGCCGUUCCCAGCUCCCCAAAAUCCCCGUCCUGGGAGCUGCGCCGUUAUCCCGCUGUUCCCGCAUCCCAUCCGGGAUCCAAACCCGCCCGAGCAGCGACUCCCGGCCGCUCUCCACCAACAUUUCGGGGGCUGCCCCCAGGGUCAGGAUUUGGGGGGAGCUGCUCCAGGAUCCCGUCCCUUUCCCAGCCAUCUCCCUGCUCCGGAGCAUCCUGAGGUUCCCAACUGGUUCUGGGAAGUUCCCGGGCAUCCCGGUUGCUUUUCUGGGCACCUGGAUGAGCCCGGGAGCCCCAAAAUCUCCGGAGGCUCGCGGAUUUCUGGGAAGAGGUUUUCCCAGCGGGAGCUGCCCUGGAGCGGUGGCCACGCUCCGCUCGGCAUUUUUUUAGGAUUCCAUAUUUAUUUAUUUCUUAUUCCACGUUUGCGGCCGAUCCCCGGCAGAUCCAAGGGCAGAUCCACAAAGGAAAGCGGGGUUUUUUUUUUUUUUAUUUAUCAGCUGACCGGGCUGGGAAUGUAAAAACAGGAAAACGGCUGAGCUCAUCCCAGCUCAUCCCAGCUCAUCCCAGUCCCCUCCCUGUCCCCAGCGGGGUGAGUCUGGCCAGGGCCAGGGCAGGAGAUGCCAGCCCGGGAAUGGUGUCGGGAUUUGGGGAUUGUGGGACCGGAGCCAUGGGAUGGGGCACGGGGAUCGGGAGGAUCCACUGGGAGCAGCCCGGGAUCCACCUGGAUCAGGGCAAGGAAGGGAGGACGCGGUCCAAGCAGGAGCAGCCAGCGUCCGGCCCUGAGCGGCACCGGGAGCCCCCCCAUAUCCUGGAGCCCCCCCACAUCCUGGAGCCCCCCGACAUCACCCUGAGGCCCUGCGGGGGGGUCCCCGCGGGGGUCGCGCCCCCGAGGCGCCGCUGUGUGUCCGUCCUGGAGCCUGGCACGGCCUGGGAUGAGGAGGAGGAGGAGGAGGAGGAGGAAGAGCGAUUUCCCGGGGUGUCCCUGCGGAGAUCCAGGACGCUCCGCGGCUCCCUGGAUCCUUUCCGCCGGCACAGCUGGGAACCGGGCAAGGAGCCGCGGGGGAUCCCCGGCUAUGACCAGCUCAGCGAGAGCCCCGAGCUCGGCUCCAGCGCGGAGCAGCUGGGGGGGCUCUGCCGGCGCCGCCGGGACCCCCGGAGAGCCCCCCUGGUCCACAGCAGCGAUGACCUGGACUCGCUGCUCUCCCAGGACGAGGAGGACGAGGCCGAUGUGAAGCGGGCACAGGUGGGACCCUCCUGUCACCUCGGGGGUCACCCAGCACCCACCUGAGCCGGGAGGGGAGUGGGAACCCCCGGAGAGGGGAUGGCUGUGAGAAAGUGGCAUCCUGGUGGUUUUGCCAUCAUCUUGGGUGGCUUUGUCAUCGUCCUGGUGGCUUUGUCAUCACCCCGAGUGGUUUUGUCAUCGUCCUGGUGGCUUUGCCAUCAUUUUAGGUGACCUCGUCAUCGUUUUGGGUGGCUUUGCCGUCAUCCAGGGUGCCUUUGCCAUUGUCCUGGGGGGUUGCCAUUGUCCUGAGUGACUUUGUCGUCAUCUUGAGUGGCUUUGCCACGGUCCUGAUGGCUUUGUCAUUGUCCUUGUGCCUUUGCCAUCAUCCUGGGUGGCUUUGCCAUCACCACAAGUGGCUUUGCCACUGUCCCGAGUAUCUUUGGGACCACGACGCUCCUUCCCAACCCUUUCCCCUGGGAGCAGCUUCCUUUUGGGGACCAAUGUCGGGCAGGGACCGUGCCGGGGCCGCUGAGGGUGGCAGUGCCACUGUCCCCGUCCCCUCUGGCAGGAGGACGCGCGGAGGCUCCCGGCGCCCCGGGCCGGGCCCCGCUCCCGGGGCUGGUCCCGCUCCAAAUCCGCGUCGCUCGGUGUCAUCGUCAGUGUCCCCGGCGAGGAGGGUGAGUCUGUCCCCCCACCCCUGCCCCCCCAAGGACCCUCGUGUCCCCCCGGCGCUGUCCCUGCUCCGACCUCCCCGGCAACGACCCAAAAUCGAUGGCGCUGCCACCGCAGUUAAUU
rnacentral:lncRNA from 13 species